GUAGGUUCCAACGUUAAUCGGAAUUACUGGCGUAAACGGUGCGCAGCCGGUUCUAUAAGACAGAUGUGAAAUCCCCGGGCUUAACCUGGGAACUGCGUUUGUGACUGUAGGACUGGAGUGUGGCAAGAKKGGGGUGGAAUUCCACGUGUAGCAGUGAAAUGCGUAGAGAUGUGGAGGAACACCGAUGGCGAAGGCAGACCCCUGGGUUAAACACUGACGCUCAUGCACGAAAGCGUGGGGAGCAAACAGGAUUAGAUACCCUGGUAGUCCACGCCCUAAACGAUGCGAACUAGGUGUUGGAGAAGGAGACUUCUUUAGUACCGUACKAACGCGUGAAGUUCGCCGCC
rnacentral:rRNA from 1 species